GCACCAGUGGAGUAGUAGUUAACUCGUUUCCCUCCCAUCUAAAUCGUGAUUGUACUAUCAUGAGGGCGAGGAAGGAAAGGACCCGGGUGCAAAUCCCGGCUGGUGCA